AGAGUAAGAGCAUUUACGUUAAGUGCUGCCUGAACGGAGAGUUGUCUGGCGGACGAAAAGCUUAUGCUUGCGGUUUAUGCUCUGCAUCUCGCU
rnacentral:ncRNA from 1 species